rnacentral:rRNA from 1 species
UAAGGGCGCACGGUGGAUGCCUUGGCACUAGAAGCCGAUGAAGGACGUUACUAACGACGAUAUGCUUUGGGGAGCUGUAAGUAAGCUUUGAUCCAGAGAUUUCCGAAUGGGGAAACCCAGCAUGAGUUAUGUCAUGUUAUCGAUAUGUGAAUACAUAGCAUAUCAGAAGGCACACCCGGAGAACUGAAACAUCUUAGUACCCGGAGGAAGAGAAAGAAAAUUCGAUUCCCUUAGUAGCGGCGAGCGAAACGGGAAGAGCCCAAACCAACAAGCUUGCUUGUUGGGGUUGUAGGACACUCUAUACGGAGUUACAAAGGACGACAUUAGACGAAUCAUCUGGAAAGAUGAAUCAAAGAAGGUAAUAAUCCUGUAGUCGAAAAUGUUGUCUCUCUUGAGUGGAUCCUGAGUACGACGGAGCACGUGAAAUUCCGUCGGAAUCUGGGAGGACCAUCUCCUAAGGCUAAAUACUCUCUAGUGACCGAUAGUGAACCAGUACCGUGAGGGAAAGGUGAAAAGCACCCCGGAAGGGGAGUGAAAUAGAACCUGAAACCGUGUGCUUACAAGUAGUCAGAGCCCGUUAAUGGGUGAUGGCGUGCCUUUUGUAGAAUGAACCGGCGAGUUACGAUUUGAUGCAAGGUUAAGCAGUAAAUGUGGAGCCGUAGCGAAAGCGAGUCUGAAUAGGGCGUUUAGUAUUUGGUCGUAGACCCGAAACCAGGUGAUCUACCCUUGGUCAGGUUGAAGUUCAGGUAACACUGAAUGGAGGACCGAACCGACUUACGUUGAAAAGUGAGCGGAUGAACUGAGGGUAGCGGAGAAAUUCCAAUCGAACCUGGAGAUAGCUGGUUCUCUCCGAAAUAGCUUUAGGGCUAGCCUCAAGUGAUGAUUAUUGGAGGUAGAGCACUGUUUGGACGAGGGGCCCCUCUCGGGUUACCGAAUUCAGACAAACUCCGAAUGCCAAUUAAUUUAACUUGGGAGUCAGAACAUGGGUGAUAAGGUCCGUGUUCGAAAGGGAAACAGCCCAGACCACCAGCUAAGGUCCCAAAAUAUAUGUUAAGUGG